rnacentral:rRNA from 1 species
AGUGAACGCUGGCGGUAGGCCUAACACAUGCAAGUCGAACGGCAGCACCGUAAGAGCUUGCUCUUACGGGUGGCGAGUGGCGGACGGGUGAGGAAUACAUCGGAAUCUACUUUUUCGUGGGGGAUAACGUAGGGAAACUUACGCUAAUACCGCAUACGACCUACGGGUGAAAGCAGGGGAUCUUCGGACCUUGCGCGAUUGAAUGAGCCGAUGUCGGAUUAGCUAGUUGGCGGGGUAAAGGCCCACCAAGGCGACGAUCCGUAGCUGGUCUGAGAGGAUGAUCAGCCACACGGGAGCUGGGACGCGGUCCAGACCCGGACGGGAGGCAGCAGUGGGGAAUAUAGGACAAGGAGCGCAAGCCUGAACCAGCCAUACCGCGUGGGUGAAGAAGGCCUUCGGGUUGUAAAGCCCUUUUGUUGGGAGAGAAAAGAAGCAUGUUAACACCCCGCUGAUCGGACGGAACCCAAAGAUUAGGCACCGGCUAACUUCGU